rnacentral:lncRNA from 1 species
CGUGGGCUCGGGCGAGCGCCCUCAGUUCAGCUAGUUUUCCCUAGCCCAACAUACGAUCUGCAUAAUGCAAAGACACAUGGGUUAGCUCAGAGAGAAAGAUAAACGCAUAACUCAGUAUGCAGCAAAAGCAAAAUAAGUGGUGCAGAAAAUAAAACCAAAGUCUUGUGCACAACAGACAAGACGCCCAGAAACAGUUAGCAGAAGUAACGUCAAGUGUAAUGACUUAGAAACUGAGGUGAGCUCUAACCUAUGCGAACUUCGAGUUGAUCUUCGAAGAACUCGAAGGAGAUGAGCGUAGUGGUGAGGAAGGUAAUAUUGGCGUCUGCCACGCUCUUCCAGAAGAAGCACAGAUCCUUGUCCAAAGCACCCAUGCUUUUAGGACUUCUUGGCCUCCUGAAGCUUCCCUUGGACUCUUUAUUCCCCUUGUUUACCCAAUACAAGGGGAAGCCGUCGAGCAGUGAGGCGUCCUUGUCGUUUGGGCGCACCUGGACAAACUUGCCUUUCCAAUCUUUGUAGGAUUGCUGGAAGAU